UACGGAGGGUGCAAGCGUUAUCCGGAAUCACUGGGUUUAAAGGGUGCGUAGGCGGCUAGAUAAGUCAGAGGUGAAAGUUUGUCGCUUAACGAUAGAACUGCCUUUGAUACUGUUAAGCUUGAAAGUAGGUUAGGUUGGCGGAAUGUGACAUGUAGCGGUGAAAUGCAUAGAUAUGUCAUAGAACACCGAUUGCGAAGGCAGCCGGCUAACUUGAAUUUGACGCUGAGGCACGAAAGCGUGGGUAGCGAACAGG
rnacentral:rRNA from 1 species